UACGGAGGGUGCGAGCGUUGUCCGGAAUCAUUGGGCGUAAAGGGCGCGUAGGUGGCGGGACAAGCGUGCGGUGAAAGCCUGGGGCUCAACCCCGGGUCGGCCGUGCGAACUGUUUUGCUUGAGCACUGUAGAGGCAGGCGGAAUUCCGGGUGUAGCGGUAGAAUGCGUAGAGAUCCGGAAGAACACCGGUGGCGAAGGCGGCCUGCUGGGCAGUAGCUGACACUGAGGCGCGACAGCGUGGGGAGCAAACAGG
rnacentral:rRNA from 1 species